UGAUAGUGGGUGAGGCAGGUCUGCGGAGUCCCCAGAAACUGGGGAGGUUCAGCCCUGGUCUGGGGAAGAGAGUCCAAUGGGUACACCCUGGGGACUCCCGUGGGUCCCUCUCCCAAUGGUGCUAGCCAGAGAGCAAAGUCCCUAGUGGGUGCCCAGGGCAGGGCCCUGGCUGAGAUCACGUGGCACUUGGAGACCCUUGGGAACCGGAGCGGGUCGCUUCAACCCAGCGGACACGGCAGUAGCUGUGUGUGCUGAAAAAGCAGGAUUUCUCAGUGCCAUAUGCAACAGGAUGUACCAGCACAGGACGGCCUGUCUCUGCUUCUUGGUUGAGAAGACUUUGCAGAGAGUCAUCUUGUUUGAAAUGUUUAAUUCAUUGGUGCAGGUUUUUAUGUCUUUGGGAGGAAAAUGCUCUUCCGUUGUCUACGUAACUAGCUUUGCUCCCGCUUGGCCCGGCGGCCAAAACACAGAAAAGUCCUUCCUUCCCCACAACCCACUGUGCCUCCAGUGCCUGGAAGGGCCAGGCGGUCAUUACCGCCAUUU